UACAGAGGAUGCAAGCGUUAUCCGGAAUGAUUGGGCGUAAAGCGUCUGUAGGUGGCUUUUUAAGUCCGCCGUCAAAUCACAGGGCUCAACUCUGGACAGGCGGUGGAAACUACCAAGCUGGAGUACGGUAGGGGCAGAGGGAAUUUCCGGUGGAGCGGUGAAAUGCGUAGAGAUCGGGAAGAACACCAGUGGCAAAGGCGGCUAUCUGGACGGUUUCUGACGCUAAGACGCGAAAGCGUGGGGAGCAAACAGG
rnacentral:rRNA from 1 species